UUGAAGCGCCGGUUCCCAUACGAACACUGAAGUUAAGCAACGUCGACUCUGAUAUGUACUAGAUGGAUGACCGUUUGGGAAUACCAGUUGCU